GACAGAGGUGCCGAGCGUUAGGCGGAAUCACUGGGCUUAAAGCGUGUGUAGGCGGAUUUGUAAGUACCUUGUGAAAUCCCACGGCUCAACCGUGGAACUGCUUGGUAUACUGCUUAUCUUGAGCCACUUAGGGGCAGUCGGAACAGACGGUGGAGCGGUGAAAUGCGUAGAUAUCAUCUGGAACGCCAAUGGUGCAGACAGGCUGCUGGGAAUGAACUGACGCUGAGGCACGAAAGCUAGGGGAGCGAACGGG
rnacentral:rRNA from 1 species